UGGGGAAUAUUGCACAAUGGGCGCAAGCCUGAUGCAGCCAUGCCGCGUGUGUGAAGAAGGCCUUCGGGUUGUAAAGCACUUUCAGCGAGGAGGAAGGUGGUGAACUUAAUACGUUCAUCAAUUGACGUUACUCGCAGAAGAAGCACCGGCUAACUCCGUGCCAGCAGCCGCGGUAAUACGGAGGGUGCAAGCGUUAAUCGGAAUUACUGGGCGUAAAGCGCACGCAGGCGGUUUGUUAAGUCAGAUGUGAAAUCCCCGGGCUCAACCUGGGAACUGCAUUUGAAAACUGGCAAGCUAGAGUCUCGUAGAGGGGGGUAGAAUUCCAGGUGUAGCGGUGAAAUGCGUAGAGAUCUGGAGGAAUACCGGUGGCGAAGGCGGCCCCCUGGACGAAGACUGACGCUCAGGUGCGAAAAGCGUGGGGAGCAAACAGAUUAGAUACCCUGGUAGUCCACGCUGUAAAACGAUGUCGAUUUU
rnacentral:rRNA from 1 species